UACGGAGGGGGCUAGCGUUAUUCGGAAUUACUGGGCGUAAAGCGCACGUAGGCGGCUUUGUAAGUAAGAGGUGAAAGCCCGGAGCUCAACUCCGGAACUGCCUUUUAGACUGCAUCGCUUGAAUCCAGGAGAGGUGAGUGGAAUUCCGAGUGUAGAGGUGAAAUUCGUAGAUAUUCGGAAGAACACCAGUGGCGAAGGCGGCUCACUGGACUGGUAUUGACGCUGAGGUGCGAAAGCGUGGGGAGCAAACAGGGAUUAAGAUACC
rnacentral:rRNA from 1 species